GGGCCUUCAGACGAAACGAGAGGUGGUUCGAGGGAACUGUACCUCACCUCGGUGGUGUCCUAUGAAUCCCCAUUGUUGCAAGGUGCCCAAGUUUCCACAAUGGUGCAACCUGAAUCCAAGAAAAAAAAACAGGAAGAAUUAUUUUCUGUGGACAAAUAAAUUGGUGUGAUAUAGAAUCUAAGGCAUAAAAAUAUUGGCUGCAAAUGGAGCCAGUGGACACAUUCGCUCUACCAGUUUUUUCAGAGACAAUAAAGACUUACCUUGAGUGCAUUCA